AUGGCCGAUGCUGGUGAAAGUGUAGUAUAUUUUCUUAUCAGCUUAAUAUCUCACGCGCGUUGUAUUUGGUUAUUAGAUAUCAAGAUAAUAAACUUAUUUUGGUAAGUUAUCGGAAUUCUUGAAGCCUGCUUCACCUCCGCCGCGGGUCGGCCCGGUAUUGCACUAUCUUUGGGAUCGGCCCACGGUUC